rnacentral:rRNA from 1 species
UACGUAGGGCGCAAGCGUUGUCCGGAAUUAUUGGGCGUAAAGAGCUCGUAGGUGGUUUGUUACGUCUGCUGUGAAAACCUAGGGCUUAACCCUGGGCCUGCAGUGGAUACGGGCAGACUAGAGGUAGGUAGGGGAGAAUGGAAUUCCCGGUGUAGCGGUGAAAUGCGCAGAUAUCGGGAGGAACACCGGUGGCGAAGGCGGUUCUCUGGGCAGUAACUGACGCUGAGGAGCGAAAGCGUGGGGAGCGAACAGG